CAGCAGCCGCUGUAAUACAGAGGGUGCGAGCGUUAAUCGGAUUUACUGGGCGUAAAGCGUGCGUAGGCGGCUUUUUAAGUCGGAUGUGAAAUCCCUGAGCUUAACUUAGGAAUUGCAUUCGAUACUGGGAAGCUAGAGUAUGGGAGAGGAUGGUAGAAUUCCAGGUGUAGCGGUGAAAUGCGUAGAGAUCUGGAGGAAUACCGAUGGCGAAGGCAGCCAUCUGGCCUAAUACUGACGCUGAGGUACGAAAGCAUGGGGAGCAAACAGGAUUAGAUACCCCGGUAGUCCCUGUCUCUUAUAC
rnacentral:rRNA from 1 species